UAUGCUACAGCAUUUCAAGAAAUUUUCGGUAUGGUUAUUGAUUAUACAAUAUAAUACAGAUGACCCGUGCUGUGGAACCUAACCAGUAACAGCUGAUGGCUGGCCGCCGCUAUAAAGCGCUGUCAACCGGGGUGUUGGCCCCGUCGUAGGUAGAUAAAUGGGGAAUACGUGGCCGUCGACCGCGGCUGAACAGUGUGACUACAGAACCAAUAAUAAAUUAUGCGUCAUCAUAAGCG